UACGUAGGGUGCGAGCGUUAAUCGGAAUUACUGGGCGUAAAGCGUGCGCAGGCGGCUAUUUAAGCUUGCUGUGAAAGCCCCGGGCUUAACCUGGGAAUGGCAGUGAGGACUGGAUGGCUGGAGUGUGGCAGAGGGGGGUGGAAUUCCACGUGUAGCAGUGAAAUGCGUAGAGAUGUGGAGGAACACCGAUGGCGAAGGCAGCCCCCUGGGCUAACACUGACGCUCAGCACGAAAGCGUGGGGAGCAAACAGG
rnacentral:rRNA from 1 species